rnacentral:rRNA from 1 species
UGUUUGAUCAUGCUCAGAUUGAACGCUGGCGGCAGGCCUAAUACAUGCAAGUCGAGCGGAAACGAUGGAGCUUGCUCCAGGCGUCGAGCGGCGGACGGGUGAGUAACGCGUAGGAAUCUACCCAGUAGAGGGGGAUAGCCCGAGGAAACUCGGAUUAAUACCGCAUACGCCCUACGGGGGAAAGCAGGGGAUCUUCGGACCUUGCGCUAUUGGAUGAGCCUGCGUUGGAUUAGCUUGUUGGUGGGGUAAAGGCCUACCAAGGCGACGAUCCAUAGCUGGUCUGAGAGGAUGAUCAGCCACACUGGGACUGAGACACGGCCCAGACUCCUACGGGAGGCAGCAGUAGGGAAUAUUGGACAAUGGGGGCAACCCUGAUCCAGCCAUGCCGCGUGUGUGAAGAAGGCCUUAGGGUUGUAAAGCACUUUCAGUUGUGAGGAAAGGUGUGUAGUUAAUAGCUGCAUACUGUGACGUUAACAACAGAAGAAGCACCGGCUAACUUCGUGCCAGCAGCCGCGGUAACACGAGGGGUGCAAGCGUUAAUCGGAAUUACUGGGCGUAAAGCGUUCGUAGGCGGUUGAAUAAGCAAGAUGUGAAAGCCCAGGGCUCAACCUUGGAACUGCAUUUUGAACUGUUCGACUAGAGUACUGUAGAGGGGGGUAGAAUUUCA